AGGACGAACGCUGGCGGCGUGCCUAACACAUGCAAGUCGAACGGAGUCCAGCCGGUGGCAACACUGGUGAAGAUUCAGUGGCGAACGGGUGCGGAACACGUGAGCAACCUGCCCCAAAGACUGGGAUAACGGCGGGAAACUGCCGCUAAUACCGGAUAUCCCCACGAGGUCGCAUGGCCUUGUGAGGAAAGGAUUACCGCUUUGGGAGGGGCUCGCGGCCUAUCAGCUUGUUGGUGGGGUAAUGGCCCACCAAGGCGACGACGGGUAGCUGGUCUGAGAGGACGAUCAGCCACACUGGGACUGAGACACGGCCCAGACUCCUACGGGAGGCAGCAGUGGGGAAUCUUGCGCAAUGGGCGAAAGCCUGACGCAGCAACGCCGCGUGGGGGAUGAAUGCCUUCGGGUUGUAAACCCCUUUCAGUGGGAACGAAUUGACGGUACCACAGAAGAAGCCCGGCCAACUACGCGCCAGCAGCCGCGGUA
rnacentral:rRNA from 1 species